CCGUCAGCUCAGGGCCAAAGGCGUCAGUCGAAAUCCAUCGUGACCAGAUGAUUCUAUAAAUAGUCCAGAUGAUUCCCAUGUUCACAUCUGCCAUUCUUAUGGUCCAUUGUUGGCAAACAGUGUUCUUCCUCAUAGUAUUGUUUGCCGCAUUCCUGUCACUGCGGGAACUGCUCAGGGUCACCAGACGGGGCAGAGGGUGCAUCUCCAAUAGUGCAGAUUAAGAAUGAGCCAGGAAGGCAGUUCCCUCUCAUUAUACAUACUAGCGCAUUUCUGGGAAACAAUUUGUUUUUUGAUAAUAAUAUUUGCGUUCUUUAUCUCUCUUUGGGAGCUGCUCCACGUUACAAGACCUAGACCCACUCUCAACCGAGGUUGCUGAUUUUAUAAAAAUGGAGUACGAUGCUCUUAUUCUUGGACUUAUAAUAUAUCUGCUCUUGGUCGGGAUAUUGAUUAUUAUAAACGAAGCCUUCUGCAAGGCGCGUUGUAUGAAGAACGCGCAAAUUGUACAGAUGGAGAGAGAGAUGCAAGAUGUGGAACUGAACGAGCGCCAACCUUCCAAAAUAGGCAGGGAACCCAUCAUACACCAACCAAUAAAAACCUCGCAUCAUCAACGUUUCCACUAAAACGUCGUAGAUGGCGCAUAUCUCAAAGACCGAUAUAUUUCUGGCCACAAGAAGAUUUGAUAAUACUAAUGUUCCAACAAGCUCGAAUAAAUUUAAUGAAAAAUACUGGGACUGACGUCAAGUAAAACAUGGCAUAUUUUUAUAAAAUUAUU